AUGAUCCUCCAAGCCUCGGAUAAGAACAAUUCGCUCAUUGACAGGCGUAUGGAUAAAUUUCGCCAGUUUGUUGAUAGCAAUGGCCUUAAGGAGCUAUACAUGCACGGGAGAGCCUUCACUUGGAGCAAUGAGAGAGAUUCCCCCACCCUCACGAAGAUUGACAAGGCCCUAGUUUCUGUGGAUUGGGAGCUGGAGCACCCAUACUACCUCUUGCAAGCUCUCUCCACCUCAUCCUCGGGCCAUUGCCCUCUGCAUCUUGCCCUUCAGGAGAACAUGCACCCGCAGAAAUGUUUCAAAUUUGAGGUUUUCUGGACCAAGCUCGAGGGCUAUGAGGUGGCUGAGGGAGUCCUGGAUAAGGGGGUAUCCGGACAGCUGGACUAUGUACUUUGGCCGGACUGUUGA
rnacentral:rRNA from 1 species